CUUCAGUAUGGUGUCAUAUUUUUUUUUAUUGUGACAUCUAGUUGCACGGGGUAAAGGAGAUGGAGAGUUGCAUUCAGCAAGGGCUGGGGUUAGCCAGAUGAAGGUCGUGAAGUGAGAAAGGGUAGCAGAGUUGAGGGUGUGGGCAAUGGAAGGAUUUAAGGAUAAGCUGUGGGAUCUGUGCUGUGUAAAGAAGCAAGUAUGGGCAUGACAGCGGGUGAGUGGGACAGUAAAAGGCAGAAGGAUCAAUGGAUGAAAGACCCAGUGGGGUGGAAUGCUUGUUGGAGCUGGAGGGGCAGAGGGGUGAGCUGGAAAGACAGCUGGGUGGUCAUAGCGUGUGAUCCCGGAAAUGGAUGGUUUGCAGUUAUUAGUAAUAACAAAGUCUGGGUUUGGGCUAAGGUCACGUGGAGGACAAGAUUAUUAUUUUUUUUUUUUUGAGGAAGAUCAGCCCUGAGCUAACUGCCAGCAAUCCUCCUCUUUUUGCUGGGGAAGACUGGCCCUGAGCUAAUAUCCGUGCCCAUCUUCCUCUACUGAAUAUGUGGGACGCCUACCACAGCAUGGCUUGACAAACGGUGCCAUGUCUGUACCCGGGAUCCGAACUGAUGAACCCCAGGCCACCGAAGCGGAACUUGCACACUUAACCGCUGUGCCACCGGGCUGGCACAGGGACAAGAUUAUUGAGAAGACCUCAAGGAACUGAGAGACCAGGGUCUUGGGUGAGUCAUCUACCAAGAUAAUGAAGUCACCAAGAAUUAUGAUGAGAUAAUGGUGGCGAUAGUGACAGUGAGGCACAGGCUCAUCCUCCAGCAAUGAGAAGGAUGUCCUGGGGGUCCAUCAGAGGCUGUGACAAGAGAGUCUAGCCUGAUGAUGUGCCUUUCUAAAGGGCGAGGGCUUCUGGAGGCAGGAGGGAGAAUGGUUGGGGGGUGACAAUGAGGAGCAAGGAAGUCACCCACCUCCCCUUCAGGCCCCUUGGUACAAGGGUAGUGGGACAGAAAACAAACCCAACCCAAGACGGCUACAGUGGAAGCUUGCUCUCGGAAAGGAGCCAGGUUUUGGUUAAAGGGAGAAUAGGAAAGGAAUAUUUAAAGAAGCUGAUGAUAUUUACUUUCUAUGCCCAGCACUCAGCUGGACACUGAGACAGUGAACAAAAGAGUGAAAUAUCCUCCCUCCUGGGCCUUAUGUUCCACCUGGUGAGACAGAGUAAACAAGAUUGAAAAAGUCAAAUAUAUAGUCUAUUAGAUAGUGCUAAAUAUUAGGGGAAAAAAUAAAGCAGUGAAGAAAGAUCGAAGUGUCAGUAAUUGGGAGUUAAAACUAUAAUAGUUAGCUAAGACAGGCUCCCUGAGAAGAAGACAUUGAGUAAAGGCCUGAAGGAAAUUGGAAAGCUGACCAGAGACCUGGGGGUAAGAAGAACAGCAACUGCAAAGGCCCUGAGGUGACAGCAUGCCCACGAUGUCUGAGGAAGAGCGAGGAGGUGAUACUGAUGCUAAUGCUGCUGGUCGGGGACCAGUUUUGAGAACCACAGGAGAAGUGCAUUACAGUCAGUUUGCCCCGCAGAAUGGAGCACCCAUUUGUGCCUCAUGAUGGUGAAUUCACUGAAGGCCGCCAGCAUGGCUGUGUUUUUGUCUCUGUCAUGCUCAGCUGCACUGGAACCGGCACAGAGCAGGCAGGUAGGUUUAACUUGGGUUGAAUUUUAGCCAAGUGAAUGCUACAAAUCCUGGGAAAGGCAAGUGGGUUAAGGGGAGAGGCACUGGAAUGACUGGGCUGAUUGACCUUGGAUGUGAAUCUGGGCAAGGUGAGAGGAGAGGUGAGUUGUUGGUGGAGACGUGUCAGGAUCCAGGAUGUCCAGGGUUGUCGUGGUCUGGGUCCUUAGAGGGAGUGAGCUAGAAUUGAGGUUAUGGAUGGGGUGAGACCAUAGCAAGGAGUGGCCAAGGUUGGGUGGAAGACAGGGUGCUUGCAGGACAGGAGGUCCAGGAAUGAGAGGCCAGAGUCUUGGAAGGUGCAUCUAUCUGUUUGGAUAUUGAAAACACUAAGAAUUGAAGCAGGAGCCCGUUAGAGAGAGUGACAGUGAGCCAGGAGCUAAAAUCCUCAAGCAGUGAGGUGGUGACCUGGUGGCCCAGAGGUGACGGCGACAAGGAGAGGUGGUGGGAGCUGCAUUCUAAUGACAAGAGGUUCAAAGCCAGAAGGUUUUACAGGAACGACCAUGGAGAGAGGUCUGGCAUGACAAGGGGAACAAGGAGGAGCCCACCCCACCUCCAGGCCUGGAGCAGAGAAGCAGGAGUGAGCAGAGCCAUCACUUAGGGAGCCGCUGGGAAGCUGAGCUCUCAGGGAGAGUCAGGGUCCGUUCCCUCUGUAGUUCUCCACCCUAGCCUCAAAUGAGAAACACCUGGGGAAUUUGGAGACCACACCGGAGCCUGGACCCCACUAUCUGAGGUUUGAAUUUCAUUAGUCUGGUGAGGAGCCUGGACUUGGGUGUGUUCUUAAGCCCCUGACGUGAUUUGACUGUGCAGCUCGGGAGGGAGAGGGAGACGGUGAAGGGGACGCUGACAGGAGUCCAAGGAUGUGGGGGACUUUGCCGGUGAUUGGCCUGGGGUCCAGAGGGAAAAUGGCAGGCUUCAGGACAUGGGACCAGACUAGGGGAGGAUGGUGGGCAUGAGGAUGAAGUCUGGGGGAGUGGGGAGACCUGGCAGACCUGGGCUGAAAGAGGGGUCAAGUGCCUGCCUGUGGUCUCAAGGCACAUCGUGGUGGUGAGGCUCGGAGUGUUGGGUGUUGGGGAGAGGGAGGGAUGGGGUCUCGCCUGGAGCACAGAGAGGGCAGUGGCCCCUCUUUACCUGGCAGUGGCAGAGGCUGGAAGAGGGGGAGGGGAUCCGAGUGGAACACCUUGAAUUUGAGGCUCCGCCCUGGCUCCUAGCUUCCUCUUCUCCGCGUCCGAUCCGUCAGCAAGUCAGUAGGCUCUGCAGAGACUGAGACAAAGGUCUGGGUGCAGGUAGCUUAUUUGGAAGGUGUUGCCAGAAGGUGGGGGUGAGGAGGCACCGAGAGUGAGAUGGGGAGGGCACAAAGUCCAUGUAAGGGUGUUGUCAGCCUCACUGCUGUAGGGGAGGGGCUGCAUCCCACAGGACCUCUGGGAAGCAUUCAGAAUACCUGGCGGGGUUGUCUUGCCAAAGAUGGGAGGCCGAAGCCUUUAUCCACUGGCUCCCAUCCCCACUGGUGGAGGCUGCUUCUGGGGCGUCAGUUCCCUGACCACCAGCCUGUGCUUGCCUGAGGGCCAAGGUAGUUCCAGCUGCAAGGCUGCACUGGAGAAGGCUCUGGAGCCAGAGGCAAGUCAGCACUUUUCAAGACAGCCGUGGCUAAACUCAGAGGUGGGCGAGAGGCUGCACCACAGGCUCCAUGGUGUCUGCUGCCUGACCCAUUGCCCCACUAGAGUGCAAGUUCUUAGCGAGCGGAGACUGUCAUUUCUGUUCACGGAUGUGUCCCAAGAGCCCAGCACAGUGCCUGACAGACAGCAGGGAGCAACGAAUAUUAAUUGAAGGAAGUUAAUCCUUUCAUCAAUCCAGUGGAAAACUGAAGAUGGAGGCAGAGACUGCAGUCAGGCAGCUGCAAGGUGAGGAACACCACGGACUGACGGCACCAGCAGAAACGAGGAAGAGGCAAGAAAGGAUUCUACCCAGAGCCUCAGAGAGAGCAUGGCCCUGCUGACACCUCGAUUUCAGACUUGUAGCCUCCAGAACUGGAGAUAAUAAAGCUCUGUUUUUCUAAGCCACCCAGUGUGUGGUACUGUGUUACAGCAGCCCUGGGAAACUAUACACCUUUCUGUGUUCAAAGCAAGUUCUAGUUCAAGCUGAAAGCAGGGCCUCUAGGAGCUGUCAGUUCCUCCUGCCCUCCUCUCCCCACAUUGUAGACAUAAUUCACUUACCUUCUACUUCCUUUGAAUCUUGCUGAACUCCCACGCCUUAUAGAUUCACUGGAAUUCGGUGCUCAUGGGGCAUGGAGAACACUAUACGCAAAUGGGGCAGCAAGGGACAGCAGACACCUACUGCACAACUCUCUGUUCAG
ensembl:lncRNA